UGGCGCACCCCGCUGGGCUGAAGCCUUUGGCCCCGUAGAGCUGCCGGAGCUCGGAGCAGCUCCUCGCCUUGUUGGGCGCCUCGCCGCCCCCUCCGCCGGUGCGCGCCGAAGAGGCCGAAGCGGCGACGCAGAGCAGCCACCACCCGCCCGGGAGGAACCCCAUCCUCCUGCUCCUGCCCCGAGAGAAAGAGCGAGGAGAGCCCCGAGGAGCCCUUCUUCUCCCCUCCGCCUGCGCUCCUCCUGAGGCGGCCGCUUCGGGGAUGAGGAGGAGAGGCGGUGCCCGGGUCCCGGCUUCUUCGCUGCCUUGCCUUGCUUUCCCUUCCGAGCGGCGAACAAUACAAUCCCGGAACAAUACAGGGAGCCUUUCCUCCAGUCUCUCUCUCAAAAAGCUGAGGAGGGAGAGAGACCUCACUUUUGUUCUCUUCGGAACAAUGGCACGAGCGGGCGGAGACUCGAGAUGACUUCUCUCAGGUGGAGGCUGGAGAUGAAUGGGGACCCCGCGGGCAAACUUUGGGCGAGGGAAGAGGAGCAGCUGGGACCGGAGCCUCCUCAGGGCUGGAGAUGGACAGGUCCGAGCGGGACAGAAGGAAGGAGAGAAGGGAAGAGCGAAGAGGCGCGCCACCUGCACAGCAGCAGCAGCAGCAGCAGCAGCAGCGAGGCAGGCACCGAAAGAGCAGGACGCGCCACAGCGAGGCAGGGCUUCCCCGCCGGACGUGGCAUCACGCCCCCAGCCCACCAAUCAGCGGAGAAGUGAAAAUUCAUCACCCCAUUGAUUCACAUGAUCCCAACAGCAUUUUCCAGCAUUCUCCUUCAAUGUUGAUCUUUUAAAACUAUUGUUCCAAGUGAAGGAAUAGAAGCCCUGAACCAGGGAGAACCUGCACAGAAUUGCUUCUUCCUAAAGUCUUCUGGGUUACAAGAAAUCAAGUACAUUUAUACAUUUUUCAAAAUUGUCUACUCUAGACCAUGAAAGUGAAUGCCAGAAUAAAUGAGUUGAUCUUCCAUAUACCACACAAAGGCCUAAUAGAUCAACAUGGCUAACCCACUGGAAAAUUAUUUUAUUUGCUCAUAUCAUCCUGCUUUGCUUUUCGUUUUAAUUAAACUUUAAAAAAUGAACGUUGUCACUAAAGUCCUAACCCUGUUAUCUCAUCACUGAAAUAAUAAAACUGAAGUAAAGUUAUGUUACCAAGA
rnacentral:lncRNA from 11 species